AAUCCAUGCAUAGGACAUUUCCUAAGUAAAUUUUUGAACCUUUCCCAUGCUUCAUACAAUGUUUCAUCCUCUAAUUGCUUGAACAAUGUUAUGUCAUUUCUCAUUUU
rfam:Gossypium arboreum cultivar AKA8401 contig_50504_1, whole genome shotgun sequence.